AUUGAACGCUGGCGGCAUGCCUUACACAUGCAAGUCGAACGGCAGCACGGGGGCAACCCUGGUGGCGAGUGGCGAACGGGUGAGUAAUACAUCGGAACGUGUCCUGUAGUGGGGGAUAGCCCGGCGAAAGCCGGAUUAAUACCGCAUACGACCUGAGGGAGAAAGCGGGGGAUCCUCGGACCUCGCGCUAGAGGGGCGGCCGAUGGCAGAUUAGCUAGUUGGUGGGGUAAAGGCCUACCAAGGCGACGAUCUGUAGCUGGUCUGAGAGGACGACCAGCCACACUGGGACUGAGACACGGCCCAGACUCCUACGGGAGGCAGCAGUGGGGAAUUUUGGACAAUGGGGGCAACCCUGAUCCAGCAAUGCCGCGUGUGUGAAGAAGGCCUUCGGGUUGUAAAGCACUUUAGUCCGGAAAGAAAACCAUUGCCCUAAUAUGGUGGUGGGAUGACGGUACCGGAAGAAUAAGCACCGGCUAACUACGUGCCAGCCGCCGCGGUAAGAC
rnacentral:rRNA from 1 species